rnacentral:rRNA from 1 species
GAGUUUGAUCGUGGCUCAGGAUGAACGCUGGCGGCGUGCUUAACACAUGCAAGUCGAACGAGGAAUUUUAAAUGAGACUUCGGUGGAUUUUAAAAUUCUUAGUGGCGGACGGGUGAGUAACGCGUGGGCAACCUGCCCUGUACAGGGGGGACAACAGCUGGAAACGGCUGCUAAUACCGCAUAAGACCACGGAGCCGCAUGGCUCAGUGGGAAAAACUCCGGUGGUACAGGAUGGGCCCGCGUUGGAUUAGGUAGUUGGUGAGGUAACGGCCCACCAAGCCGACGAUCCAUAGCCGACCUGAGAGGGUGACCGGCCACGUUGGGACUGAGACACGGCCCAAACUCCUACGGGAGGCAGCAGUGGGAAUCUUCCGCAAUGGGCGAAAGCCUGACGGAGCAACGCCGCGUGAGUGAGAAUAUUUCGUAUGUAAGCUCUAUCAGC